rnacentral:rRNA from 1 species
UACACGAGUGGCGCACGGGUGAGUAACGCGUGGAUAUCUGCCUUUUGGUUCGGAAUAACUCCGGGAAACUGGAGCUAAUACCGGAUGGUUCCUUCGGGAUAAAGAUUUAUCGCCAAAAGAUGAGUCCGCGUACGAUUAGCUAGUUGGUGAGGUAAUGGCUCACCAAGGCGACGAUCGUUAGCUGGUCUGAGAGGACGAUCAGCCACACUGGGACUGAGACACGGCCCAGACUCCUACGGGAGGCAGCAGUGGGGAAUAUUGGACAAUGGGGGCAACCCUGAUCCAGCCAUGCCGCGUGAGUGAUGAAGGCCUUCGGGUUGUAAAGCUCUUUUGGCGGGGACGAUGAUGACGGUACCCGCAGAAUAAGCCCCGGCUAACUUCGUGCCAGCAGCCGCGGUAAGACGAAGGGGGCUAGCGUUGUUCGGAAUUACUGGGCGUAAAGCGAGUGUAGGUGGUUGUCAUAGUCAGGUGUGAAAGCCUUGAGCUCAACUCAAGA